UACGGGGGGGGCAAGCGUUGUUCGGAAUUACUGGGCGUAAAGGGCUCGUAGGUGGCCAACUAAGUCAGACGUGAAAUCCCUCAGCUUAACUGGGGAACUGCGUCUGAUACUGGAUGGCUCGAGUUUGGGAGAGGGACGCGGAAUUCCAGGUGUAGCGGUGAAAUGCGUAGAUAUCUGGAGGAACACCGGUGGCGAAGGCGGCGUCCUGGACCAACACUGACACUGAGGAGCGAAAGCCAGGGGAGCAAACGGG
rnacentral:rRNA from 1 species